rnacentral:rRNA from 1 species
AUUGAACGCUGGCGGCAGGCCUAACACAUGCAAGUCGAGCGGAUGAAGGGAGCUUGCUCCUGGAUUCAGCGGCGGACGGGUGAGUAAUGCCUAGGAAUCUGCCUGGUAGUGGGGGAUAACGUCCGGAAACGGGCGCUAAUACCGCAUACGUCCUGAGGGAGAAAGUGGGGAAUCUUCGGACCUCACGCUAUCAGACGAGCCUAGGUCGGAUUAGCUAGUUGGUGGGGUAAAGGCCUACCAAGGCGACGAUCCGUAACUGGUCUGAGAGGAUGAUCAGUCACACUGGAACUGAGACACGGUCCAGACUCCUACGGGAGGCAGCAGUGGGGAAUAUUGGACAAUGGGCGAAAGCCUGAUCCAGCCAUGCCGCGUGUGUGAAGAAGGUCUUCGGAUUGUAAAGCACUUUAAGUUGGGAGGAAGGGCAGUAAGUUAAUACCUUGCUGUUUUGACGUUACCAACAGAAUAAGCACCGGCUAACUUCGUG